rnacentral:rRNA from 1 species
GUUUGAUCCUGGCUCAGAACGAACGUUAGCGGCGCGCCUAACACAUGCAAGUCGAGCGAGAAGGAAGCAAUUCCUGUAAAGCGGCGCACGGGUGAGUAACACGUAGGUAAUCUACCUCGAAGUGGUGGAUAACCUUCCGAAAGGAGGGCUAAUACAGCAUGAGACCACGGUUUCGAAAGAGAUUGAGGUCAAAGCGGGCCACUAUACAUAAGCUCGCGCUUCGAGAUGAGCCUGCGGCCCAUCAUGGUAGUUGGUAGGGUAAUGGCCUACCAAGCCGAAGACGGGUAGCUGGUCUGAGAGGAUGAUCAGCCACACUGGAACUGAGACACGGUCCAGACUCCUACGGGAGGCAGCAGUGGGGAAUCUUGCGCAAUGGGCGAAAGCCUGACGCAGCGACGCCGCGUGAGUGAUGAAGGCCU